rnacentral:lncRNA from 1 species
ACUGGCACGGAAAGGAAAGGGGAGAAGAGAGGAAGGAAGAGGAGGUUUACCUUCGAUGCCAGCGAAACUUUUCUGACGAGAAAUCUCGAUAGGUACAGGGACGGUCUUCCACAGUGGCUUUCCAGUGAUUGCUGCCGACGGACUUCAGAUUCUCUGAUGAGAGGAAGAGAGGAGGGAUCUCCUCCUUAAAUAGAGUCGGAGGGGGCCUCUUUCUGACUUAGAUUGGG